AAUUCAUGCAUCAGACAUUUUUGAAGUAAUUCUUUAAAUCGUUCCCAAGCUUCAUAUAGCGUUUCAUCCUCUAAUUAUCGCAAGGAUGUGAUGUCAUUUCUAAGCUU
rfam:Gossypium raimondii chromosome 3, whole genome shotgun sequence.